rnacentral:rRNA from 1 species
UACGUAGGGGGCAAGCGUUGUCCGGAAUCAUUGGGCGUAAAGAGCGCGUAGGCGGUCCGGUAAGUCGGUUGUGAAAGUCGGGGGCUCAACCCUCGGAUGCCGAUCGAUACUGUCGGGCUAGAGUCCGGAAGAGGCGAGUGGAAUUCCUGGUGUAGCGGUGAAAUGCGCAGAUAUCAGGAGGAACACCGAUGGCGAAGGCAGGUCUCUGGGCCAUAACUGACGCUGAGAAGCGAAAGCAUGGGGAGCGAACAGG